CCAAGAUAUAUUUAAUAUCGUGAAGAACGGAGUUCCAAAAGUAGGAGGUCAAAUCACAAAGGCACAACAUCGAGAUGCCAAGAAGAAAGAUCAUAGGGUUCUCUACUUUAUUCAUCAAGGAUUUAAUGAUAUGAUUUUUGAAAAGAUUGCAGGAGCUACCACAGCAAAGUAAGCUUGGACAUCCUUGAACAAACUUUCAAGGGUGUAGAAAGGGUGCAGAGUUAAAUUGUAGACCCUACGAAGGCAGUUUGAGUUGC
rnacentral:lncRNA from 1 species